AACGAACACUGGCGGCGUGCCUAACACAUGCAAGUCGUGCGAGAAAGUUCCUUCGGGAGCGAGUAAAGCGGCGCACGGGUGAGUAACACGUAGGUAACCUGCCCCCCAGUCUGGAACAACUAGAGGAAACUCUAGCUAAUGCCGGAUGAGACCACGAUCCCUUCGGGGGUUGCGGCCAAAGAUGGCCUCUACUUGUAAGCUAUCGCUGAGGGAUGGGCCUGCGGGCCAUUAGCUUGUUGGUGAGGUAACGGCUCACCAAGGCUGUGAUGGCUAGCUGGUCUGAGAGGAUGACCAGCCACACUGGGACUGAGACACGGCCCAGACUCCUACGGGAGGCAGCAGUGGGGAAUAUUGCGCAAUGGGCGAAAGCCUGACGCAGCGACGCCGCGUGGGUGAUGAAGGCCU
rnacentral:rRNA from 1 species